AAAGGAGUAGGGCGCUGGCCUAUAUACCGGAGGUGGUGGGUUCAAACCCUGGCCAAAAACUGCAAAAAAGGAAAAAGAAGAAAAGAUAAGAGUCUCACUCUGUUGCCCCAGGCUACAGUGCCAAGGCUGACCCUUGCUCACAGUAACCUCAAACUCCUGAGCUCAAGCGAUCCUCCAGCCUCAGUUUCCCAGUAGCUGGGACUACAGGUGCCCCCAACCACACCCGGCUGUAGGAAACUGAGUCUUAGGGGUCAUCCAUGGAUCAGCCUUGGCUCUAUCACCCGAAGGCUCAUGAGAAUGGCGGCAUCCUGGGCUCUACCCAGGUCCUACUGAAUCACAGCCUGCAUUGAAAGAAGAUUCCCAGGUGACUGGACAUACAUUACAGUUUGAGAAGCACUAAACUAAAAAAAAAAUGGGCUUAGAAAACUCUUGGCAAGAAAUAUGUGUAAGACCUGUAUGAGGAAAACCACACAACUUCCUAGAGAGACAUCACAUAACAUGUUCCUAGAUGAAAAGACUCAGUAAAGUGAAGAUGUCAAUUCUCACUAAUGUGGAAUAGGUCAAAGUGUUUUGCUUCUAUUAUCAUUUUUUGUUUUGUGCGUCUGUGAGACAGAGUCUCACUCUGUUGCCUAGAGUGAGACCUAGGCUAGAACACAGUGGCAUCAUCAUAGCUCACAGCAACCUCAAACUCCUGGGUUCAAUCCUCCAGCCUCAGCCUCCCAAGUAGCUGGGACUACAGGUGCCUCUCUCACACCCCCCACUAAUUUUUUCUACUUUUAGUAGAAAGAGGGUCUCACUCUUUUUUUUUUUUUUUUUGAGACACAGUCUCACUUUGUUGCCCCUAGUAGAGUGCCAUGGUGUCACAGCUCAUAGCAACCUCAGACUCCUGGGCUCAAGUGAUUCUCUUGCCUCAGCCUCCCAAAGAGCUGGGAUUAUAGGCACCUGCUACAGCGCCCAGCUAUUUUGAGACAUGGGGGUCUCGCUGUAGCUUGGGCUGGUCUCGAAUUCAUGAGCUCAGGCAAUCCACCCACCUCAGCCUCCCAAAGUGCUGGGAUUACAGGUGUGAGCCACCGCCCAGCCAGAGGGUCUCACUCUUGCUCCAGCUGAUCUUGAACUCCAAAAUGGAAGUGAUCCUCCUUCCUUGGCCUCUCAGAGUGCUAGGAUUACAGGUGUGAGCCAUCUGCCCCAGCCUCCUGUCGUAUUUUUUUAAAUUGAUAUGUAUAGUUGUAUAAAUUUGAAGGUUAAUUAACGUGUGGAUCAAAGUGAUUUUUGAGGCUUGUCUGAAAGAAUAAAUGAACAAAAAUAACUUUUUUUAGAAAAUAAAAAUAAUGAGAUGGUAUUUGCCCUACCGUAAAUGGUAUUACAAUUUUGCAAAGUUCUUCAGUGUUUGACUUGAUAGAAGACAGUUGGAUUAUUACAUUUACUUCUUCAUUCAAUCUACUUUGAUAGGUUGUUUUGUGUGAAGUGGAAAUAUAGUUGGAAAAGAGAAGACUGUUAAAAUAGCCUUUUCAGAAAAUUGUGGCUAUUCUUUGAUAUAACACUAGAACUCCACAAGUGGUAUUUUAUUAAAGAUUAGCGGCAAUGUGGCAUCUAAAACUUUAUCAAUAAACUUUUCUUGUACUUUCACUUUCAAACUAAAUAAAAAAUUAUGAGGCUGAAAUUACUUUUCAAAAAUAUCUGUACUUUAUUUAUUUAUUUUUUUUUUUUUUUGUGGUUUUUGGCCGGGGCUGGGUUUGAACCCGCCACCUCCGGCUAUGUACUUUUUUUUAAAACAAGGAAAAUAAAUGGUGCUGA